UACAGAGGGUGCGAGCGUUGUCCGGAAUCACUGGGCGUAAAGGGCGCGUAGGCGGCCUUCCGCGCGUGCGGUGAAAGCCCGGGGCUCAACUCCGGGUCGGCCGUGCGGACGGGGAGCUAGAGUCUGGUAGAGGCUGAUGGAAUUCCGGGUGUAGCGGUGGAAUGCGUAGAGAUCCGGAAGAACACCGGUGGCGAAGGCGGUCAGCUGGGCCAGCAACUUCGGUUGGCCGUCGCAAGACAGGU
rnacentral:rRNA from 1 species